GGGAUCCAUCGCAGGAAGUGGAGCAGAGUCGUGGCCGUUACUGAGGCCUGCCAGGGAGUGAUGGAGCCGCGUGGGAUCCGUCGCAGGAAGUGGGACAGAGUCGUGGCCAUUACUGUGGUCUGCCAGGGAGUGAUGGAGCCGAGUGGGAUCCGUCGCAGGAAGUGGAGCAGAGUCAUGGCCGUUACUGAGGCCUGCCAGGGAGUGAUGGAGCCGCGUGGGAUCCGUCGCAGGAAGUGG
rnacentral:lncRNA from 1 species